CCUACGGGUGGCAGCAGUGGGGAAUAUUGGACAAUGGGCGAAAGCCUGAUCCAGCCAUGCCGCGUGUGUGAAGAAGGCCUACGGGUUGUAAAGCACUUUCAGUGGGGAAGAAAGCCUUGGGGCUAAUACCCUCGAGGAAGGACAUCACCCACAGAAGAAGCACCGGCUAACUCCGUGCCAGCAGCCGCGGUAAUACGGAGGGUGCGAGCGUUAAUCGGAAUUACUGGGCGUAAAGCGCGCGUAGGCGGUCUGAUAAGCCGGUUGUGAAAGCCCCGGGCUCAACCUGGGAACGGCAUCCGGAACUGUCAGGCUAGAGUGCAGGAGAGGAAGGUAGAAUUCCCGGUGUAGCGGUGAAAUGCGUAGAGAUCGGGAGGAAUACCAGUGGCGAAGGCGGCCUUCUGGACUGACACUGACGCUGAGGUGCGAAAGCGUGGGUAGCAAACAGGAUUAGAUACCCGUGUAGUC
rnacentral:rRNA from 1 species